rnacentral:lncRNA from 1 species
ACUCUCCAUUUGGAGCAGAGCUUCUUCGGCAGCCCCAGGUCUCCCGGGAUCUUCCUCGGUGUCCUGCGGAGGCUCUGGCUCCAGCGUGGGCUCCAGCGCAGGCUGGGCUUCCGGCUGGGCUUCAGCGCUCCGGCCAGGCCCAAGGCGAGGCGGCUUGACCGGGGUGGGCGGUGGCGCUGCAGGGCCUUUCCGGCCCGAAAGGGCCCUUCGGAGGCUCUGUACCUUCUGCAAUCCGGUGCGCCGCAGCCGCUGGGCCCUGGACUCCACCGGCUCCUCGUCCGAGCUCUCUCCAACUUCGGCCUCCAGCUGCUCUGGGCCCAGCUCGGACUGGUCCGCCGGGCCCAAGGGCUCUGGUGCCUUCUGGAAAGCGCUGGCUGGGACUUCACCCUCCUCCUGCAUGUGACGGACACAGCACUGAUCCUGGCAGCUCCUUACCCCCAGCAGCCCGAAACUCACUCCUUAAUUACACAAGGGAAACCUUUUACCUCCGCAGCCAGAGUCUGGGGGGAAAGGCAGGCGUGGGAAGCACUAACUCCCUCUCUGGAUAUCUGGAACAAGGAGGACCUUAAACUUAACAAUAAAGCCAAUGAUGGUUCUACCAGUCUCCCCAAAGCCUCAAGUUUAAAAGCCAUAUGAACUGGCUGAUAGUGGAAAAUGGAAGCCAUGAGGAAAUCAGAUUAGAGUACUACCUGGUGAAGCCUGGAGGACCUACCAAGAAAAGCAAACUUGGAUCUUUGCAAGGUUAGAAGAACGAAUGGGAUCCAAGAAAAAGACUGGUCAUAUUCAACGGCUAAGAGCGUUGGAGAAGGCCUGUGGAGUCUCAGCAGGUCAGGUCCAUGACUCAUGAGUAGACACCUGUGUUUCUACUGCCUGGUGCCAUAAUCAUAAACAAGAGUAAUCAGCAAAUGCCUUUCCUUUCUCCUGCUGAUGUUUUGCCCGUACUCAGACCCCUUGACUUCUUAGCUUCUACCCAAAGUGAGCUUGUCAUCAAAGUUCUCCAAAAAUCUGCAGUGUUCUCUUGAGCAAAUCUGCUUCCAAGACUAUAGCGCUCUGAUGCAUUGAGAUGACAGCAAGCGGCAUUUUUCAGUCCUGUUACCCAUAUGGCUGCUACCACUGCAUCCUGUUAAAUAAUGUCUUCAACCCAAGAAACCUGCUUCCUAGGGAAGUUUCUCUCUCUCUGCAUUUGUUCCCACUAGAGAAUGACCAUCACCAGAUUCCUGAACUGAAAAUGCUGUUGACACUUUGGAAACUCGGGCCUCUAUUAAUAGGGUGACCAACUAUCCUGGUUUACCUUGAGUACAGGAUUUUCAAUGCUAAAACCAGAAAAACCAGGAUGGUUGGUCAUCUGCCUCAGACCUAAUAAAUACCAGUCAAUAAUUCAGCCAUGAGCUUUCUUAAGACACUGUCUUUUCUUGACUGUUGAAUAGUCUAGGACUUGAGUAGCAGCUCUUUCUGCUACUGGACACUUGUUUUACUACCCUAUUUCUCUAGAUUUUAUUUUGUGGCUAAUAAUUAAGACAUAAAAUCAUGGGUUCUGGUUAUGCCAAAGCACUCACUCUUCAAAAGUUUCCAUCCAGAGUUGGAUAAUCCCACACAGAAGGUGUUCUUUCAACAGACCAGCAUCCAAUAGACCCAAUGCAGCAUUUUUCUUCCUGGUUCCACAUUAAUACAUCCUAUCUCUGCUAUGCUUAGGUCCCUGAUUUAUAAAUAUUUCAGACAUAUUUUCUCAGGACACAGGGAGUACUUAAACUUCCACAUAGCAGAGAUACGACAUACAAUAAGCUGUUAUCUGGAAACUCCUAGUGAUGCUUUGAGUACUUUACAGUAAUCUUUCUGGUCUUCCUCUCAACCCCAUUAAGUUUUUCUGUAACUAGCUGGUGUAUCUGUCUCCAUCUUUAAGGAAUAAGUCCCUAUUUGCUCAUGCUAUAAUCUCCCUCAUGCUCUCCGUCCCUCCUUCCCUCUCCUUCUCUCUUUCUGUCUCUCUCUCUCUCCACCCUGAUUGUGAGAUGCUACACCUUAAUAGUUUUCUAUACCUAGAUCCCUUUUGAAGGAGUAAUUUCAGCCAUCACUGAAAUCUAUGCUUUUUUAUCUUGUUAGAUUUAUUUAGGACCUAAUGACUGUUUCUGAGCUAAUAAUAACGCAAUCAGCUCAUAUUUUUCUGAUACUCUAAGAGCAAUUACAUCUAGUUGCAUCACCUUUUCCUUUUUUAUUCAUGUAUCUUAGGCUUCUCAAGAUAUGAGACUAGCACUUGAGCCUGAGAUAAGCCUUAAGAAUUCCAGGAUAGUCUCUCCAUAGUUCCCUUUCUUGGAUAAAGUCAUUUCAAAACAUCUUAGUGGAUCAGAUUUGGAGCAGCCUACUUACACUGGUGAAUACCACAACUAAUAAAUAAUUGUUCUGCACCCCACCCACAUCUAAAGGAUUCAGGGUGUCUUUUACAGAUAUAGGACUCUCCUUUCUCUGUUUCUCUUCUCUCUCUUCUCCUUGAUUAAAGCUUUGCUUCAGCUGUCCCUGCUCACUACGGCACUGCACCUCACCAGCAUCUUCAUGGCCCUCACAUGGCUCAUGUGCAUAUCCUAACUCUGAUACUAAGGGAGGAGACCACCCCUCAUAUUGUCUUAUGCCCAAUUUCUGCCUCCAAAGAAAGAAGAAGUAAAAACUAAAAGGCAGAAAUGAAAUCCACAAGCAGACAGCCCGGCGCCACACCCUGGGCCUGGUAGUUAAAGAUCGACCCCUGACCUAAUCGGUUAUUUGCAUAAGAAAAGCACUGUGAAGAUCCCUGUCCUGUUCUGUUCCAUUCUAAUUACCGGUGUAUGCAGCCCCCAGUCAUGUACCCCUGCUUGCUCAAUCGAUCACGACCCUCUCACGUGGACCCCCUUAGAGUUGUGGGCCCUUAAAAGGGACAGGAAUUGCUCACUCGGGGAGCUUGGUUGUUGGAGAUGUGAGUCUUGCUAAAGCUCCCAGCCGAAUAAAG